CCUACGGGGGGCUGCAGUGGGGAAUUUUGCACAAUGGGGGAAACCCUGAUGUAGCGACACCGCGUGAACGAAGAAGCCUUUUGGGGUGUAAAGUUCUGUCGGCUGGAACGAAAAAAAUGACGGUACCAGCAAAGGAAGCAUCGGCUAACUACGUGCCAGCAGCCGCGGUAAGACGUAGGAUGCAAGCGUUGUCCGGAUUUAUUGGGCGUAAAGAGUUCGUAGGCGGUUAUUUAAGUCUGAUGUUAAAUACUGUGGCCCAACCACAGAACUGCAUUGGAUACUGGAUGACUUGAGUGCGGUAGAGGCAAGUGGAAUUCCCAGUGUAGCGGUGAAAUGCGUAGAUAUUGGGAAGAACACCAGUGGCGUAAGCGACUUGCUGGCCCGUAACUGACGCUGAGGAACGAAAGCCAGGGGAGCGAAUGGGAUUAGAUACCCCAGUAGUC
rnacentral:rRNA from 1 species